rnacentral:rRNA from 1 species
CCAUAUCAAAGAUUUAUCGCUGCAAGAUGGGCUCGCGUCUGAUUAGAUAGUUGGUGAGGUAACGGCUCACCAAGUCGACGAUCAGUAGCCGGACUGAGAGGUUGAACGGCCACAUUGGGACUGAGACACGGCCCAGACUCCUACGGGAGGCAGCAGUGGGGGAUAUUGCACAAUGGGGGAAACCCUGAUGCAGCGACGCCGCGUGAGGGAAGAAGGUUUUCGGAUUGUAAACCUCUGUCUUUGGGGACGAUAAUGACGGUACCCAAGGAGGAAGCUCCGGCUAACUACGUGCCAGCAGCCGCGGUAAUACGUAGGGAGCAAGCGUUGUCCGGAAUUACUGGGUGUAGAGGGAGCGUAGGCGGGUUUGUAAGUUGAAUGUGAAAUCUAUGGGCUCAACCCAUAAACUGCGUUCAAAACUACAGAUCUUGAGUGGAGUAGAGGCAGGCGGAAUUCCUAGUGUAGCGGUGAAAUGCGUAGAUAUUAGGAGGAACACCAGUGGCGAAGGCGGCCUGCUGGGCUCUGACUGACGCUGAGGCUCGAAAGCGUGGGUAGCAAACAGGAUUAGAUACCCUGGUAGUCC